AUGAAAUGGCACAAAGCCAAGCAUAGGCCUCUGAGGCAUUCUCUGGACAAUCUCGUCCUUCAAGCAAUCAUCCUGUGUCCUACUGAUUCAAAGUAAAAGAAGCAGAAUCAGAAGAACAACAAUGAUGUAAAAACAAACCACUCUGAAAGACUUAAGAACACUCAUCAACAUGAUGGCCAGCCGCAAUUCCAGAAGACACAAAAUGGAGCAGGAUGCCUACAACUUAGAGAGAGGUAAAGGUGAAGAGGGAGAUCAUUUCAAGUAUGGAAGACAACCUUGUGCAAAGGUGAGAGUGAGAGAUGAACUGCUGCAUACAAGAAAAAUCACAAGAGAUACAGAGUGGUGAAAGGAGAGAUGGAGUCAUUAUAAUUACCAACCAGCAUUUCAGAGGGCGUGGUAUGAAUGAAUGAAACAUGCUCUCCACCUCCCAACAGGCAAUCCCCUUGGGUCAGAUGGAAACAUAAUUUUUUUUGGACUUAUCAGAAAGGAAAUUUGUUUUGCUGCUCGAUACAUUUUUGUUAUAAGGGUUUCAGUUUUUCAAGGUUUUAGGGGAGAUAGGGAGAGAAAAAAGAUUUCUGUUAAAUGAAAAAAAUCAAGCUCAAUUUUUAAAACUGAAAGAUAGUUUAGAAUUAGAUCUUAAAGGACUUCACUUGCCAAGAAAUUAACAGAAAUCCACUGAUGCUUCUUGAGUCAGGGAAGUGAACAGGUACACAGACUACAGACCUGUCUUUUAAAAUUAUCAAAUCAACAUCUGUGUGGAAGAGAGAAUGAAGAUGGGAGAGAUUGAAGGCAGGGAAACCAAUAAAAAGGCUGUUUCAUGUAAGUGAAGAAAAGAGGAUGGAGCAAGAGAUCUUGUAGAUUUUACCUCCACAAAAUUUAGCAAUGAUUGAUUGAGGCAGUCAAGAAUGAACCUGAGGACUAGAAGGACAAACAGCAUUUCUCUAAGCAGCAACAGGGAAAUUAAGUUUAAAGUAAGGACUAAGGAAAAGAAAAGAAAUUUUAUUUUGAAUAUGCUCAGUUUGAGAUAUCCAUGGGAGACUCAGAUGGUGCUAUCUUGAAAGUCAUGUGCACAGUAAUGACAGCUGAAUCCAUAGACAGAGAAGAAAUCUUAAGUCAUGUUUAAAACAAACUCAUCAGCUUUCCUCUAAAACUUCUAGCAUAUUUCACCUUUUUUUGUCAAGACCUUUUGUCUUCUAGGCAUUUAAAUUCAAAACUUAAAGUCAACUUUGAUUCUUUCUUGUUCCAUAUCCCAUGUAACUCAUCAGCUGUCAAAUUCUAUGGACCCACCUCUACAAUAAUUGUCCCCUUCUCCCCAUUCUAUGCUCUCACCCUGCUAAGGUCCUUAUCAUCUCUUGACAGUCUCCUGGUUGUCCCCUCUGCUUCAAAUCUUUCUCUACUCCAAUUUAUCCUUCACAAUUGUCAAGGUAACAUCUCCGUGCCUUCGGACUUGGCCUUCUCUUGAUCCCUAGCUUUCUUCAAGUUACCUCAAGCAUAUCUUCAACAUGAGGUAGUUCUGGAUCUCUUCAGCUGCCAGGAGCAGAGAUCUUCCUCACCUCCAUCUCCUGCCCCAGCAUGACUAAUAUGGAAAUAUGUUUAAAAUGUGUAUCAACA